AAUAGAUACCCGGGUAGUCCACGCCGUAAACGAUGGAUGCUAGCUGUUAUGCGUAUCGACCCGUGUAGUAGCGAAGCUAACGCGUUAAGCAUCCCGCCUGGGGAGUACGAACGCAAGUUUAAAACUCAAAGGAAUUGACGGGGACCCGCACAAGCGGUGGAGCGUGUUCUUUAAUUCGAGGCUAAGCGAAGAACCUUACCAGGGCUUGACAUCCUUGGAAUUUCUCCGAAAGGAGAGAGUACUUUAUUGGACCAAGUGACAGGUGCUGCAUGGCCGUCGUCAGCUCGUGUCGUGAGAUGUUUGGUUAAGUCCAUUAACGAGCGCAACCCUUAUGAAUAGUUGUAUUUUUCUAUUCAGACUGCCCCGGUAACGGGGAGGAAGGGGGGAUGAUGUCAGGUCAGUAUUGCUCUUACGCCCUGGGCUAGAAACGCGCUACAAUGGCCGGUACAAUGCGCUGCCAACCCGCGAGGGGGAGCAAAUCGCAUCAAAGCCGGUCCCAGUUCGGAUAAGAGGCUGAAACUUGCCUCUUUGAAGCCGGAAUCGCUAGU
rnacentral:rRNA from 1 species